UACGGAGGGUGCGAGCGUUAAUCGGAAUUACUGGGCGUAAAGCGCACGUAGGCGGUCGUGUAAGUCGGAUGUGAAAGCCCCGGGCUCAACUUGGGAACUGCAUUUGAUACUGUCAGACUAGAGUACAGAAGAGGUGACUGGAAUUCCCAGUGUAGCGGUGAAAUGCGUAGAUAUUGGGAGGAACACCAGAUGCGAAGGCGGGUCACUGGGCUGAUACUGACGCUGAAGUGCGAAAGCCAGGGGAGCGAACGGG
rnacentral:rRNA from 1 species